rnacentral:rRNA from 1 species
AGAGUUUGAUCCUGGCUCAGGACGAACGCUGGCGGCGUGCUUAACACAUGCAAGUCGAACGGAGCACCCUUGAAAGAGUUUUCGGACAAUGGAGAGGAAUGCUUAGUGGCGGACUGGUGAGUAACGCGUGAGGAACCUGCCUUCCAGAGGGGGACAACAGUUGGAAACGACUGCUAAUACCGCAUGACACAUUUGAAUCGCAUGGUUUGAAUGUCAAAGAUUUAUCGCUGGAAGAUGGCCUCGCGUCUGAUUAGCUAGUAGGCGGGGUAACGGCCCACCUAGGCGACGAUCAGUAGCCGGACUGAGAGGUUGACCGGCCACAUUGGGACUGAGAUACGGCCCAGACUCCUACGGGAGGCAGCAGUGGGGGAAUAUUGGGCAAUGGGCGCAAGCCUGACCCAGCAACGCCGCGUGAAGGAAGAAGGCUUUCGGGUUGUAAACUUCUUUUAAGAGGGAAGAGCAGAAGACGGUACCUCUUGAAUAAGCCACGGCUAACUACGUG